rnacentral:lncRNA from 1 species
CAUAGUGUACCAAUUUGAUGAUGUGCUCAUCUUGCUUGGACAGAACAAGGAAUUUAGGUAUAACUCCACUCAUAUAUAGAUACCCAUCUUAUUUAUUCAAGCUAUCUUUUAACGCUGAGCUCUGGUGUCAUCCUAUUUUUUACUUCCUCCAUCGCAAAAUAAGUGUCUCAACUAUGUUAUUAUUUUUCUUCCAUUCAUUACUUAGCAUUAUCUUCUCUGUAUAUAUGCAUGUCAAGUUUGUUGUGUUUGAAAGAUGACUAAGAGUAGCAGUAAUAUCAUAUGGCCAGCUUAAUUAAUAUUCCAACCACCAAUCAUGGCUACUAACUACAAAGGAAAGCAGUCAUAUACUCAUAUGUGUACCUUCACUAAGAGUAGCAGUGCCUGGAGUUUAGAUAUUGCAGACUGUAGUGUUGUGGUCAAUAAAUCAUGUCAAAUGUUGUAGGGUGCUCGAAGUAAUGAGCUUGCUGCUGCUUCAAGGCUGGAAGACACAUUCAACUUCUAGCAUACUACAAGUUCUGAUGUAGCUAAGCUUUUCCACAUUGACCCUGAAGCCAAGUGCACCUCUGUAGUCUUUGUUGGAGCUGGUCGCCAGCUCCUCUUCUUCUUCGUCUAGCUUCCUCUCAAAGCUCACGCAAGAACAAAAGAACCCAGAUAUUUGGUGGCCGCUAUAUCACACAGCCGACCCUUUUCUUUUCUCUGUAUACUUUUCUCAAAGCAAAUAUGCGUACAAGUGCUUAAGUAGACUCACGCCCACGCAGCCGGGCCACACACUCGCCCACUAACUGCAUGCACGCACCCACUCACACCACUAACUAAUGACCUGAUCUUCUCCUAGAAUCACUCUAGGAACCACACGACACGGCCACUCAUGCAACAGCAGCUAGCAACCUCGGACAUGCAUACACAGCAGCCUCUCGCCACCGUUCGGCAUCUCGCCAUGCGCCAUAUCUCACGGCUCCUCGCAUCUCACCUCCUGCAUGUUCUCCGAGGCUCCACCUGAUACAACUACCUAUAUGCAUGGACAAGCAAACUAAUAUGCAGAUACAUGUGAAUCAAGAUUAACAAAGCUAACAGUCUUGUCUUGCUGAAGAAAUAGGAGGAGAAGUUGAACGUAUAAGGUAUUUUCAUCACUAACUUGGUUCAGCUUCCAGCAGCCUUUCUAUGUAUAUUAAGAUGAUUUUGGCCUAUGAAUUCGAUAUAAAUGUACCAUUCAUUGUGCUGACAGCUAGUUCAGAGUAUCUGCCAUUGCCGAAUUCAUAUCGGUUAACACACUUCCACUGAUCACGACCCUCACACACAGGAAAAUGCAUCUACGAUAUUUGAUAGUCCAGUCAAGAAAGAAAUCUGUUCUCGUCCUCCUCUAUUUUGCAAUAACUCGUUUGGUUUGCGUCGAUCCUUCGUGUCCUUUUCCUAUCAAUGCUGGUAGUUAUUCCUCUUCUUGAUUGUUUUGUGUGUUGUCACAGGCGUCGUGGCCGGAGGCCACGUGAAACCCACCUCCGCCGCCAGGGGCGACAACUAUUUCCUCUUGCUUCACCGCCUUGUAGCCAAGGAGAUCAGGCGUGUCCUCCUCUGCUGCUACGCCAGGAGCCUUCACCGGCUCCGAGACAUGGUGGCCAUCGAUUCUCCGACGCCGAUGAGGAAUCGGUUCCAUCAUUGACAUAUAACCUGACAAGGUAGCGGCACAGGCUCUCCUCAUCGUGAUAUGAUCUUAUUGUUUUUUGCUUGAUCUUGAUGUGUUCUUUGCUGCCCAUGUAUCGUGGGUUUAGUGGUCUGUUUUUUCCUACAUUGAGUCGACAUUCGUAGGACGCCCGGACAGGCCAACGACACCACAUGCUAAGUGCUUGACGUGGUAACGGGCUCCACAGAGUGCGCGACCUCUACGAUGGAGACUGGCCUCGCUACAGAGCACAGAUGUCGGCAUAUGCUCUCAUUCCUUGAUUUAUCUUUACUUUAACUACUCACUUCAUCUCACGGUUGCUGGGCAGGAUGGGUUUCGCUGGCGUUGUGGUCCAGACAUAAUAAUUCUUUGAAGGAGUGCCAUAGUGGAGUGAUGUUAAAAAAAAGUGUGAUGUGCGACCGAUUGAUGAAGUGAUUUCUAGCUGCUAUCAGGAACCAAGCUUAAUUGGUGACUGCACUCUUCUUAACCAAGCUUCAGUCUAAGGUAAAUGAUACUACAUAUUAUGACUCCUCUUUUUAAUCUCCAAUUUCUCGUGUUGAAGUAUUGCUAUUAAUGCUUGCUUGUACAUUAAUUUAGCUAUUGGAAUCCUUCGUCGUCUUCCUAUUUGGUUGGUAAUUAUUUGGGAGAUAAUAAGUUUGGGGUUUCAGGCACCUUGGUAUGCACAUGGCAAAGCAGAGCCCAAGAACAUGAUUAUGGACGGUAACAUGUAGUUUCAUCGCCCAUACUUACGGUCACACUACUGUACCUACAGUCACUCAUUCAAUUUUUUUUAGAGGAACUGCAUUUCGCCGACCUGGACGUUGAAUUAACUAAUUUGAAAGGUUCAGAUCAUAAAUGAUUUUUUGAGAUUAAAUAGAAAUGCCUAAAUUAGAUGGCAUAGUCGCUCCGUUGUUGAAGUCCGACAUUUGAGCAUCCUUUCCAGGACAUGGGUCGAUGCGACCACAUUGGACAAACACAGUUGGUUCGUAUUUACGGGUUGGCAACAGAAUUCUAUUGACGUAUCAUUAGGGGAUGACUUUUGUACUAUUGCUUGGCUAUAAGUUUUUUUGUGUCAGUGCUGAUCUCCUCAUUGCUGCACGGCGGUUUAGUAAGAUAUGUUUUGGACCGCUAAAGUUAUAGCAAGAUACUGCCAAGCCUAACACCCUGGAUGUAGGAAUAAAGUCUCUCCCUAGAGUGUAGAAGAUUCUGUAAAAGUAAAAGACGUUGAGGGACGAGCAGGACAAGGAAGACAAGAUGAUCUAGAUGGACAUCAGCAAUGAGGACUUCCUAUAAAUGAUUGAACGGAGUGAACUCACCUACCUGUUGAUUAGUACUUUUUUUAAUCGGUGUGAACUAGGUACUGUAAAAAUAUAUCAGUACUCUUUUCCUGUCGAUGUUAACUUGAUACUAUAAAAAUAUACCUGUACCAUAUAUUUGAGCCAGAAUCAAACUGAUUGUGUUUAUUAGUUAUCCAAAUUUCAGAAUUUUGACUGCAUUAGUUCUAGGAUGGCCUGAUCAUCUAUUCCCUUCAUCGCAAAAUAAGUAUCUUCGAUUUGGCAACUUCUGAAAUUAUUUUGACUGCAUUAGUUCGGAGGGAAUAUUUAGGAAUAGUGUCAGUUAGUACUCCAUUGGCUUUGCUAUUCCUAAUGUUAUUGCUUGCAUAAUAUUAAUAG